rnacentral:rRNA from 1 species
UACAGAGGGUGCGAGCGUUGUCCGGAAUCACUGGGCGUAAAGGGCGCGUAGGCGGUCUGCUAAGCGUGCGGUGAAAGCCCGGGGCUCAACCCCGGGUCGGCCGUGCGAACUGGUGGACUGGAGCUUGUCAGAGGCAGGCGGAAUUCCGGGUGUAGUGGUGGAAUGCGUAGAGAUCCGGAAGAACACCGGGUGGCGAAGGCGGCCUGCUGGGACAGUGCUGACGCUGAAGCGCGACAGCGGUGGGGAGCAAACAGG